UGAGCAAAUUCUGAGUGCAACUAAAAUUUAGACUAUUUACAUCUCUUUCUUACCAAUGUAACAUGAAAAGGACAGACAAGCCUAAUUUAAUUCAUAAUUGUCAAUUGACAAA